rnacentral:rRNA from 1 species
AUGUCCAAGGUAGGGGAGCUGGGAGGCGCAUGUGUUGUUCUUAGGAACCAGGAGGGAGCGUUCCUAGGCGGUGCUUGUCACGUCUUCCCUCAGUGCAAGGAACCUGCAAAGGUGGAGCUAUACGCCUGCAGAAGAGCAACACAACUCGCGGAGGAAUUAAACGUACAAAACCUGCAUGUUGAGAUGGAUUGCCGUGAGAUUGUUUGCAAACUGCAGAGCAAGGAGAAGGACUUAUCACCGCUGGGCCCGGUCAUCGAAGAGGUUAAGCAAUUGAUGUCUUCGAGGGAGAGAUGGAGAGUCACUUGGGUUAGACGUUCCGCUAAUAAUGCUGCUCAUUUGUUAGCUAGGGAGGGUGUGGCGAAUAAUCUCUGUAAGGUGUGGCUGGAUGAACCCCUGACUGUAUUUUGCAGGUUGUGUCAGACGAGAUCCCUGGUUGGGAUGUUUAAAUAA